rnacentral:rRNA from 1 species
UGAAGCUGGCGUCUUCGGCGUCCGCGUUGUAAUCUCGAGACGUGUUUUCCGUGCGGCUCUAUGGACAAGUCCCUUGGAACAGGGCAUCGUAGAGGGUGAAAAUCCCGUACUUGCCAUGGAAGUACCGUGCUUUGUGAUACACGCUCCAAGAGUCGAGUAGUUUGGGAUUGCUGCUCAAAGUGGGUGGUAGACUCCAUCUAAAGCUAAAUAUCGGGGAGAGACCGAUAGCGAACAAGUACCGUGAGGGAAAGAUGAAAAGCACUUUGGAAAGAGAGUUAAAAGUACGUGAAAUUGUCGAAAGGGAAGCACUUGAAGUCAGCCAUGCUGCUUGAGACUCAGCCUGGCUUUUGCUUGGUGUAUUUCUCGGUAGCAAGCCAGCAUUGGUUUGUGUCGUCGGAGAAGCGUAUGGGGAAUGUGGCAUCCUCGGAUGUGUUAUAGCCCUGUGCAGGAUACGACGACGUAGACCAAGGAACGCAGUGUGCCCUCU